rnacentral:lncRNA from 1 species
AGUGGAAUGUUUUCCUCACUAUAAGGAGAAGACAUUUUUAUCAAUUUUAUUAAAGAGGUCUAUCUAUGCUACAUUAUCUAGGUUUAAAUUCUUGCAAUACCAUCGGACCUAGGAUUUUUGUUAAUUUGAACCGAAAACCUUGUUGGAACAGAAAAAAAUUAUUUCAUUUACUAUAUUUUUUGCUAUAGUUUAUAAUUUAAUUCAUGCUACUUGCGCUUGUUAUAGAUCUAAUGUGUGCCUCAUAUUCCAAGCUAGCUAAAGCAAGCCAGUCUAGAUUCAUUAUUUCUCAAAGAUUUUAAAUAUAUAUAACACACUGGAGA